UCAAGUUUUAGCCCCCCACGUGAUCUCUGCCACCCACUUUUGGCUCCACCACAAUUUGUUUGAAUUUUAAAACAAGUUUUAUUCCCCCAGAAACUGGAAACUGAGACAAGAUUCCUUCCAUUGCCAAAACCACACCUCAUCUUCUUUUCAUUUUCAGUCUACUUCCUCCCCAAUCCAUCGCCUUGCAGAUCCAUAACCAAAAGAGACCAAUGAAGAUCUCACAUCUAAGAUCCUUAGCCGUUAUUAUUAUCACGAAUUUAAGAUUUAACUACGAUUACAGGUUAGUGGUUUGAUUUAUCAUAUUGCGAUUUGAUACAUGUUUGAUUACAUGAGCGAGUUUAAUACCUGGGUCGAUUUUAUUUUUCUUUCAGGUCAUUGCCGGUUGUUGUUCUAUCUUUAUUGCAAACUUAAAGUUUUUGUGGUUUGAUGAUGCGACUCUGAGUUUUUAGUUAUUUUGUUGAGAAUUGCAGUUCAAUGUCUGGACCACUCGAUUGAUUUGAAAGGCCUUGUAAGUGUUGAAUUUUAUUAUUUGAUCAUGUUUAUAAAUAACAAUGUAAUUCUAGGGUUUCAUCAUAGUUAGGUUAUAGUUUUUGUUAUACAAGUUGGAUUGCUGUAUAAUUUUGUAUUUAUGUGUUUGCAUUCUGGUGUUUUGUGUAUUGUAUAUUACGUUCUUGAAUUUUGAUGUCAUGAUGUGUUGUAGUUGUUCGUUAAUGUUUAGAACUAGGGGUUUUGUUUCUUUGAAACCCAAUUAAUGGAGAUGUACUAUGACAGAGAACAGGUUUGAACGGUUGCAGGCAGAGCAUAUACAACAAUCUGAGUGGAUAUAACUGUGUCAAUAAAUAGGGGUUGAAGGUGAAGCUUUCGGUGGUUCUGACCUGGCGAUUUAGGGUUCCGCCACCCAAGGCGGCGGCAAUGGUGGUUCGAGAUGUCAAAACAGUGGUGAAUAGCGGCGGUUAAGGUUCUUACUCGAGUAAAUCCAUAACUGUUAUAUCAUGAUGUUUGAGGCUUGGUUGUCGUUACGGAGCUCCGGUGAUUCGAAAUAAACCAGAUGCUGCUCACACCAAUGGCGUCCAUGAUUACCUUGGUGUACAGAAGAAUCCUCUUGCUUUAGCUUUAUAACCUGCAACAAACAAAUAUAUCUCAACUUCUGAGAAUGCAAGUGAUAUUCUCCACUAUGCACCACCUUGGUAAGAUGU